rnacentral:ncRNA from 1 species
CUAGUUGAUCCUACCAAUAGUCAUAUGGUUGUCUUAAUGAUUAAGCCAUGCAUGUGUAAGUAUGAACAAAUUUAGACUGUGAAACUGCGAAUGGCUCAUUAAAUCAGUUAUAAUUAGUUUGAAAGUAUCUACUGCUCGGAUAACCAUAGUAAUUCUAGAGAUAAUACAUGCAAAAAACUGCGACUUUUGGAAGAGAAUCAUUUAUUAGAUAAAAGGUCGACGCACUCUCUAUCCAUUGCUGUGAUGAUUUAUGAUAACUCAACGGAUCAGUUAGCCAUCGUGCCAGCAUUGCAUUAUUCAAAUUUCUGCCUAAUAAACUUUCAAUGGUAGGAUAGUGGACCACUAUGGUUGUGAUAGGUCAUGGAGAAUUAAUGUUCAAUUUUUAAGAGGAAUUAUAAAAAUUGGCUACCACAUCCAGGAAAGACAGCAGGAGUGCAAAUUACCCAAUCCUAACAUAGGAAGGCAGUGACAAUAAAGAAAAAUACCGGGCUUAAUGAGUCUGGUAGUUGGAAUUAGUACAAUCUAUGUCCCUUAAUGAGGAUCGAAUAGAGGGCAUGUCUUCUACUAGCAGUUGUUGUAAUUCACCCUUCAAUAGCCUAUAUUUAAGUUUUUGCAGAUAAAAAGUUUAUAGUUGUACUUUGGGAUGGGCCGACCGAUCCACGUAUGGUAUGCACUGGUCAUCUCAUCCCUUCUGUCGGCAAUGAGCUCUUGGACAUAACUGGUCGGGUAGUGUCUCCAGAACUGUUACUUUGAAGAAAUUAUAGAGCUCAAAGCAAGCCUAUGCUCUGCAUAAAUCAGCAUGGGAUAACAUUAUUGGAUUUUGGUCUAAUUACGUUGGCCUUCGGGAUUAACAAGGACAAUCAAGGGCAUUUGUAUUUCGUAGUCAGACAUGAAAUUCAUGGAUUUAUUAAGGACAAAAAACUAUGAAAACAUUUGACAAGGAUAUUUUAAUUAAUAAAUAAAAAAAGUUGAGGGCUCUAAGAAGAUCAGAUACCAUCGGAGUCUUAAUCACAAAUGAUGCUGACCUGGGAUCGACCGAUGUUGCUUUUAGGAUUACGCCGACACUUUAUAAGAAAUCAAAGUUUUUGGGUUUCA